GCCCCAACGCAUGAUGUUUCCACCCCCAUGCUUCACAGUAGGUAUGGUGUUCUUUGGAUGCAACUCAGCAUUCUUUGUCCUCCAAACACAACGAGUUGAGUUUUUACCAAAAAGUUAUAUUUUGGUUUCAUCUGACCAUGGAGUUUGGAGUGUGACUGUUUGAGGUUGUGGACAGGUGUCUUUUAUACUGAUAACAAGUUCAAACAGGUGCCAUUAAUACAGGUAACGAGUGGAGGACAGAGGAGCCUCUUAAAGACGAAGUUACAGGGCUGUGAGAGCCAGAAAUCUUGCUUGUUUGUAGGUGACCAAAUACUUAUUUCCACCAUAAUUUGCAAAUAAAUUCAUUAAAAAUCCUACAAUGUGAUCUUCUGGAUUUUUUUCUAAUUUUGUCUCUCAUAGUUGAAGUGUACCUAUAAUGAAAAUACUCAGGAGCGGUGGGUGGUGAGUACGAUUCCUAAAUCGGACCAGAAGACCGCCUCUGUCACGUUCUGGCCUUAGUUCUGUUAUUAUAUCUUUGUUUUAGUAUGGUCAGGGCGUGAGCUGGGUGGGUUGUCUAUGUUCGUUUUUCUAUAAUUUGGGAUUUCUGUGUUCGGCCCAGUAUGGUUCUCAAUCAGAGGCAGCUGUCAAUCGUUGUCCCUGAUUGAGAAUCAUACUUAGGUAGCCUGGUUUCACUUUUGAUUUGUGGGUGUUUCUUUUCCGUGUUUGUGUUUGAGCCACACGGGACUGUUUCGUUUGUUUCACGUUGUUGUUUUGUAUUUUGUAGUGUUCAGUUUUUCUUAUUAAGUUAUGGACACUUACCACGCUGCAAAUUGGUCCGAUCUAUCUUACUCCUCAUCAGAGGAAGACGACGAACAUGACAGCCUCGAGUACCUCUUCUCCGUCGGUGUUGCUUUGGGUCAGCCUCUGGAGUAAGUUCAAUUGCUCUGGGGAGAGCAAACAAAGGAUCCGCUUGUAAGACUGGUCGUAAUGCUGGAAGUUCUGGUGAGUUACCGCCGCUCUAAUAUCCAAAAGUUCUUCCCGGCUGUAUGUAAUGACAUAAAACAAUUCCUGAGCUAAUAACGUAAAAAAUAGUACAUAAACAAACAAAAUACUGCAGAGUUCCUUGAGAGCUAGUCACCAUGCUGCCAUCUCUGUCGGCGCCAUCAUGUGAGGUUCCGCUCUGAAGCUGAUUUACACUUCCCCAGCUCUAAUGAAAGCUAAUCCUGUGUCAUGGCAUGGGGGGAGACAGGCCUCCACAUGACACCACAACUAGGGAACUAACAUCUUCUUCAGUGGCUGUCAGUCAGCCUGCUAGGCUUUUUAGGGCAUGAGAUGCUACAGUGCAGGAGAUCAUGCCACACUUAGCAACUAGCAAGUUGCAAUGUCAUGUCAUGAGAUGACUAGUGUCAUGGGCUAAGAGUUCCGAAGACUUCUGAGUUUGGGAUGUCACUGCUCUCUAGAGGGUUUCUGAAGUCAUGGUAAGGGUUUUUGCGACAUGCUCAUCUAGUACCCUCGUAAAACUGACCAUCCUACCGAUCCUCGACUUUGGUGAUGUCAUCUAUAAAAUAGCCUCCAACACUCUACUCAACAAACUGGAUGCAGUCUAUCACCGUGCCAUCCGUUUUGUCACCAAAGCCCCAUACACUACCCACCAUUGCGACCUGUACGCUCUCGUUGCUUGGCCCUCACGCCAUACUCAUCGCCAAACCCACUGGCUACAGGUUAUCUACAAGUCUCUGCUAGGUAAAGCCCCGCCUUCUCUCAGCUCACUGGUCACUAUAGCAGCACCCACUCGUAGCAUGCGCUCCAGCAGGUAUAUCUCACUGGUCACCCCCAAAGCCAAUUCCUCUUUUGGUCGUCUUUCCUUCCAGUUCUCUGCUGCCAAUGACUGGAACGAACUGCAAAAAUCUCUGAAGCUGGAGACUCAUAUCUCCCUCACUAGCUUUAAGCACCAGCUGUCAGAGCAGCUCACAGAUCACUGCACCUGUAUAUAGAUGGGCUGUUUACAGAUGGGCUAUCUACCUACCUCAUCCCCAUACUGUAUUUAUUUAUUUAUCUUGCUCCUUUGCACCCCAGUAUCUCUACUUGCACAUUCAUCUUCUGCACAUCUACCAUUCCAGUGUUUUAAUUGCUAUAUUGUAAUUACUUCGCCACCAUGGCCUAUUUAUUGCCUUAACUCCCUUAUCUUACCUCAUUUGCACUCACUGUAUAUAGACUUUUUUUGUUUUCUUUUGUUCUACUGUAUUAUUGACUGUAUGUUUUGUUUAUUCCAUGUGUAACUCUGUGUUGUAUGUGUCGAAUUGCUAUGCUUUAUCUUGGCCAGGUCGCAGUUGCAAAUGAGAACUUGUUCUCAACUAGCCUACCUGGUUAAAUAAAGGUGAAACAGUAUCUGUGAUUGGUGAUGGAUUUGUCUCAGAGGGCAGAAUUUGCUAUAUUUUGGGGGGAAUGACAGAGUAGAUAGCAGUGAAAUGCAUUCACCAUCAUUUCAAGACAGGAAACAUGGGUAAGUAUUUGUAAAGUAUGGGUCUUGAAAAGGUGGUCUGUGUGUGUGGACUGUGGAGAUCUGGGGAGGCUCAGGAGUACUCCAAGUGAAAACAGAACACUGUUUGAGAGAGGUCGGGACUGCUGCAUGUUUAGCUAAAGAGCAGCUCUGGUCUGGAUCGCAGAGUUCUGAACCGACCUUGGUAGAAUCAGCCUUCAGCUCGUAUCUUUUAACAUGAUUUCAAUUCAUGACUUAAGAAAUGGAAUAAUUUAUUGAAUCAACCAACAUUUUUCAAAGUGGCUUUCUGAGCCCACCAAUGGGAGAGUUCUUCACUCUCCCAUUGAGAUGGUGAGUCACUGUACGUUAAACAAUGCUAAUGAGAAGAUCUAUUCAUGUCGAUAUGGUGCUUCUCAUACGAGCAUUUAGUCUGCGUGAGGCAGUCUGCGUCAACGGCUGUCUGUCAUUGAGUAGUCGAUAGUCAGUCAGAGAGAGUGGGUGCUUUGACAGAUUGACAGGCCUUCACCAGCAUACUGAUUUCCCCAGCCCCCUCCAGUUCCCUCCAUGUUCUCAUUGACGUAUUGUGGCGUCCCACUGGUCCUCUCGGCUGGCCCUGACUAAUCCUUGCCCUACUACGCCCCUCCCCCCUAUCCCCUGCAUGGCCGACGCCAUCCACCAUCCGCCAGGCAGCUGUGAAUUGGCCGGGUCCCCACUGGCCACUCAUCGAUCCUCCUCUACUGCCUCCAAUGGGCCGACACAUGCCAGCCACCAGCAGCACACUGUGGGCCAGGAGCCAAUGCAGGAAGGGGACAUCCUGAGAGAAGGCGAUAGAGAGAGAGAGAGAGAGAGAGAGAGGUAGGGAGACCACCCAUCCGCCCAAGCUCGUCGGGAAUUGGUUAACCACACGUUACAUACAUAUGCCCCUCUCUUUUCACAGUUUACACGUGUUUUGAUUUCCAUGUUGCCACAAAGCCCCAGCGUGACCUUUACAUCUGUCGAAUGAGGACAAUCAGUUUGCUCAUUACUCAAUCUCCUACAGCCCUCUGAAAAGUGCUUUAAAUGCUAUUGUCUUAGCGAUACGGGCGGACUCGAUAGCUGUUUUGGAACCAGCUACUGUCUCUCACUGUCACUUUAUACACAUAGUGUCAUUCAAAGGAAAGAAGCUCCCACACACUGCACUUUCAAAGUAUCAUGUUUAUUUUGAUGCUGUACCAUACAGAUGUAGGAUCUUAAUUUGAUCACCAUGUUGCAGUUGAACUUUUUGCAAUGCAGGAAAUGUUAACUUGUAGUGUAUUUGAGGUUUAAAAAGCCUUUCCCUUACGAAAGAUGUAUCAACCCCUACAACAAUUUCCAUUAACUCCCUAGAGACGAUUGAUGCACCGGUCCGUCAAUAUAAGUAACAUAAUAAAAAAAUCACCAUCAAAAUCCUUCAGUUUAAGCUAAAGAUCAUUUUUUUGCAUUGAAUGCGUCUCAAUCCACCACAUCCACAAGUUUCACUUCUGCAUCUGCAGUGAAAUGUGGCAGAGCCAGAGCUGUGUUUAUCAGACCAUGAGUCAUGUUUGGAAAAGUGGAGUAGGGAGUGCGAGAAGUUUGUCAAGGCAAAGAAAAGAAACAAGGGCCUCAGUGGAGAUACCGGUGGAAAGGCUACUUCAGAAAUGUUGCUGGUGGCUUGUUCAGCACGUGAAGCAUGGGAGAACUGAAAGCAACAUGCCGUCUUCACCAAAGGAUGAGGGGCCUGGCACCUAGAGCUGAUUACAUGGAUGAACUCUCACCAAAAACUCGGAGGAAUUUGAUCACCAGCUGUAUGAGUUUGUGCAUGACUUCAAGAAGAGGACAUGGACCACAGUGAAAUGAACACGUUCUGUUGUUUUUCAGACAUCUCAGCAGUCGAACAUUAGACCCUUUUGUUGUUUACAUGUCUGUUCAUAGCAGACACUGUUGUACAGAAAUAUUUAUAACACUGACAUUUUAUUCCAUAGACACUUGUUUACAUGUCUGUUCUCAGCAGACACUUUUGUACUGUGGUUUACUUUCAGAAGAAAGAAUAAAGGUUUAUUUUUGUGUGCUGAAAAA